UGUAGACUUUAGGAGUAGCUAUUUCAUAGUUUGAGAAAUAUCCUUAGAACCUGAUUUGAUUAAUAUCAACGUAGGGAAAAGUUAUCGGGAACAA
rfam:Maribacter dokdonensis DSW-8 contig1, whole genome shotgun sequence.